UGCACCUUGCGUCUGUCUCGCCUUCGCCGGUGGGUCGCGGUGGGCGGGGCUAAAGAGGAGCGGCGAGCAGCGGUUUGAACCAAUCAGCGUUGCCUUUCAUUCUGGAGUCCCAUAAACUGUUCAGCGAAAUCUUUUCUUUUUGUUUUCAUCUGCGUUUUAAACUAGGACCAGCAAAUGUGUAAAUACAUAUGUUUACAAUAACUGUGAAAUAAUAAUAAUAAUAAUAAUUAGUAAUAGUAGUAGUAUUGUAAGAUGAAGUACCUGUAACAUUAAAAUGAUUUAUUUUCAGAAUUAAUUGUUUAUAAUAGCAACAGUAUUUUAAAACGUAGAACAUAUAUAUUAAGAAAUACUGUAAUAAUAAAAAACUAAAUCAACUAUAAUAAAAAUACUCAGAUAAUCUAAAUAUUAUAAAUAAGUGCAGAGUAAGACAGACUCUUACGUAACUGAAAUGAAGAGCUUUUCAGCAUAGGCCACAUGCAGUUUGAUUUUGUGUGCACUUGAUGGCAGUGUCCUCCUGUUUCCAGAUGGCAUGGCCAGCAUCCUCUUCUGUGACAGUCAUCAGUUGACUGACCUGAACUGGCUUUUCCUGACCGCUCAGGAAAUAAGGAGGAGUGUGGUCCUGUAAAAACUGGGGAAUGAAACAACAAGAAAUGAUUAUUUUCACAACAGACUGGAGCAGAGUAGACAAAGGCCUGCCACCGCACUGAUGGAACAAUGGAAAAUUCCAGCCUCGCUGUUGUUUACCAGCUCAGCAGUGGAGCAUCAGGAUGGGGCUGGAGGUGGGAGAAAUCCAGCAGGAGUAUUUUCACGCAUUCCACGUCUGGCUGUGUGUGGGAGAGGACAUCAGUCCUGACAAACCCCCCGUCCCAGCAGGCCAUUUCAUUAGACAGGGCUGAGCCGGCCUGGCUCCAGCACAGAGAGGGAGGAAGAAGUAACUGGUCUCACACUUACAGUAAGCGGUGAACUACAGGAAUCAUUCUGGGGACAACACCCAACAUAUACGAUGUCUGCUCUGCGGGCAGAAUGAAUAGAAGGAAGGCUGUUAAAUCGCACAUCCAUCACCUUCCUGCCUGUGUCAGCGUCUUAUCUGCCUGCUCGCACGACGCCCUUUCCCGUUGUCUGUUUUUGUAGAAACUUUGCGGACUUCUGAUUGGUCGCCGCGGCGUCCGGCGCGCUCCUAUUGGCUGCGGCCGCGCCGCUUGGCGGAACCACCUGUAUAAGUGUCGGCGGCGCGGCGUGGACCGCGCGGACAGCGC
ensembl:lncRNA